rnacentral:rRNA from 1 species
UACGUAGGAGACGAGCGUUGUCCGGAAUUACUGGGCGUAAAGCGCGUGUAGGCGGAUGAGCAAGUCUGCUGUGAAAGCUCCUGGCUUAACCGGGAGUGGUCGGUGGAAACUGCUCGUCUGGAGGACGGUAGAGGUAGGUAGAAUUCCCGGUGUAGUGGUGAAAUGCGUAGAGAUCGGGAGGAAUACCUGUGGCAAAGGCGGCCUACUGGGCCGGACCUGACGCUGAGACGCGAAGGCGUGGGGAGCGAACGGG